AGAAAGAUAAGCUAAAAAAGCUAUUAGGUUCAUACCCUAAACAUAGAAAUGAUAUUCUUCUUUCUA
rnacentral:tRNA from 1 species